UUCAGAGGAACACAAACACCAAGGAGAGAGAGCUCGAGUUCAGAGCUCGAGUUCAGAUGAACACAAACACCAAGGAGAGAGAGCUCGAGUUCCUCAACAGACGAACACAAACACCAAGGAGAGAGAGCUCGAGUCCCUCAACAGACGAACACAACACCAAGGAGAAAGAGCUCGAGUACAUCAACAGACGAACACAAACACCAAGGACAGAGAGCUCGAGUUCAGAUGAACACAAACACCAAGGAGAAAGAGCUCGAGUUCAGAUGAACACAAACACCAAGGAGAGAGAGCUCGAGUUCAGAGCUCGAGUUCAGAUGAACACAAACACCAAGGAGAGAGGGCUCGAUUUCAUCAACAGACGAACACAAACACCAAGGAGAAAGAGCUCGAGUUCAGAUGAAUACAGACAUCAAGGAGAGAGAGCUCGAGUUCAGAUGAACACAAACACCAAGGAGAGAGUGCUCGAGUACAGAUGAAAACAAACACCAAGGAGAGAGAGUUCGAGUUGAGAUGAACACAAACACCAAGAAGAAAGAGCUCGAGUUCAACAGACAAACACCAACACUAAGGAGAGAGUGCUCGAGUUCAGAUGAACACAAACACCAAGGAGAGAGAGUUCGAGUUGAGAUGAAGACAAACAUCAAGGAGAGAGAGCUCGAGUUCCUCAACAGAUGAACACAAACACCAAGGAGAAAGAGCUCGAGUUGAGAUGAAUACAAACACCAAGGAGCGAGAAUUCGAGUUGAGAUGAACACAAACACCAAGGAGAAAGAGCUCAAGUUCAGAUAAAUACAAACACCAAGGAGAAAGAGCUCGAGUUCAACAGACGAACACCAACACCAAGGAGAGAGAGCUCAAGUUCAUCAAUAGAUGAACACAAACACCAAGCUCGAGCUUGGGGUGGACAGCCGCAGCUACAAAUCGUCCCGCCUUCGAGUUUCUCUAUACUUCAUUUUUCCUUGGCGGCUCUCCAAGUCCUCAUUGCCUAAGGAAAACCAGAGAAGUUACAAUUCUAAGCAUCAUUUCAGUCAGUCUAUGCAGUUCGGCUGACAACCUGGUGCGGGAUACACAAGGGUCAGGACAAAGUCAGAGUCUCAUCCCCGGCGUGGGAGACGAGGCAGAACAGAGUGGGCAAGAAAAAGCGUCGUCAGAAGCCUAUGUGUCCAGGAAGGAGUGCUUUCAUCACUAUUCAUGACCCCUAGAUUCAAGGACUUCUUCGGGAUCCUAGAAACGCCUGAUGCAGCUGCAGCCUUGAACCGCUUCCCGGCUUGCGAUGAUUGUCCCGGGCUGCAGCGGCACGUGUGGAGUCUAGCGGCUGGGACAACUGGACUGCAAAAGUUCAACGGAGCAGCACCAGGUGGGCGUCUCUGGCAGGAGCAAUGUCUGAGUUGAAGGCUUCGAGCAAGAAGGGCGGUCGCCAAGGAGACAAGAGAAGCUUCGGCCUGGCCUGUGCUGGUGUGUGGAGCUAGCUAGCCCACUAGCCGGUACCGGGGAGGGCAGGACUCUUGUGGUUGCCUCAGCUAACUUAUCAGCAGGAGAAAAGCAAGAGCUUGGCAGAGGCAGAUGCGGAGGGACUCGGAGUUGGUUGAUAAAGUGGUGAACAUACUAA